rnacentral:rRNA from 1 species
GAACCUGAUGCAGCCAUGCCGCGUGUGUGAAGAAGGCCUUCGGGUUGUAAAGCACUUUCAGUUGUGAGGAAAAGUUAGUAGUUAAUACCUGCUAGCCGUGACGUUAACAACAGAAGAAGCACCGGCUAACUCCGUGCCAGCAGCCGCGGUAAUACGGAGGGUGCGAGCGUUAAUCGGAAUUACUGGGCGUAAAGCGCACGCAGGCGGUUUGUUAAGCUAGAUGUGAAAGCCCCGGGCUCAACCUGGGAUAGUCAUUUAGAACUGGCAGACUAGAGUCUUGGAGAGGGGAGUGGAAUUCCAGGUGUAGCGGUGAAAUGCGUAGAUAUCUGGAGGAACAUCAGUGGCGAAGGCGACUCCCUGGCCAAAGACUGACGCUCAUGUGCGAAAGUGUGGGUAGCGAACAGGAUUAGAUACCCUGGUAGUCCACACCGUAAACGCUGUCUACUAGCUGUUUGUGACUUUAAGUCGUGAGUAGCGAAGCUAACGCGCUAAGUAGACCGCCUGGGGAGUACGGCCGCAAGGUUAAAACUCAAAUG